rnacentral:rRNA from 1 species
UACGUAGGGUGCGAGCGUUAUUCGGAAUUACUGGGCGUAAAGCGUGCGCAGGCGGCUUUGUAAGACAGAUGUGAAAUCCCCGGGCUCAACCUGGGAACUGCAUUUGUGACUGCAAGGCUAGAGUACGGCAGAGGGGGAUGGAAUUCCGCGUGUAGCAGUGAAAUGCGUAGAUAUGCGGAGGAACACCGAUGGCGAAGGCAAUCCCCUGGGCCUGUACUGACGCUCAUGCACGAAAGCGUGGGGAGCAAACAGG